UGGGUAUGGUAAUUUACCUUCUGUUUUUUCAGUGUUUCAUUCUACCAAUACUUGGUGGCUUGAUACUUGUGGCGUCCCGCCCCCCAGGGGCCAGGCCCGCUUACACCUGGCAGCUCUCUAGAAUAUCAAGAAUUCCCUCACAGACCAACACACGUCUUUUCUGUGCACUUUGUCCUCACUCGUGCGCACCCGGGAAGAACUUCCCGGUCGGUCACCCAUCCCGAAAUUGCUCCGGACCAAGCACGCUUAACCCCGGAGUUCUUUAAGGAUGAGCUUCCGGAAAAGAAGUUGCAACUUGUUGGUAUGAAUAUUCUAUCAAUCCUAUUAAGCCUUGGGCCGGGAUGUCACAUACUCACCCCCUUAGAAGACCGACGCCCUCGUCGGUCAACCCCAAGCCAGGAACGUCCCCUCUUGGCCACGUCCGUGUGUCCAGUGCCAGCGCAUGUGCCAUGCUAUGUGACCACUCUGGGCCCACACCAGCCAUGCACACCAUGCCUGCGCAACUGCGACCGCACGCGCCCGUGAAACCGCGAGAGUCGACUCUGAUACCAACUGUGGCGUCCCGCCCCCCAGGGGCCAGGCCCGCUUACACCUGGCAGCUCUCUAGAAUAUCAAGAAUUCCCUCACAGACCAACACACGUCUUUUCUGUGCACUUUGUCCUCACUCGUGCGCACCCGGGAAGAACUUCCCGGUCGGUCACCCAUCCCGAAAUUGCUCCGGACCAAGCACGCUUAACCCCGGAGUUCUUUAAGGAUGAGCUUCCGGAAAAGAAGUUGCAACUUGUUGGUAUGAAUAUUCUAUCAAUCCUAUUAAGCCUUGGGCCGGGAUGUCACAAUACUGGUGCUAAUGUUCAUGUGUGUGCUGAUGCCUCCUUGUUUUCAUCUUACCAGGUCGCUCGGGAUUCCUCCGUCCUAAUGGGGAAUGGGUCACAUGAUUCUG
rnacentral:lncRNA from 1 species